rnacentral:rRNA from 1 species
GUGGGGAAUCUUGCGCAAUGGGCGAAAGCCUGACGCAGCCAUGCCGCGUGAAUGAUGAAGGUCUUAGGAUUGUAAAAUUCUUUCACCGGGGACGAUAAUGACGGUACCCGGAGAAGAAGCUCCGGCUAACUUCGUGCCAGCAGCCGCGGUAAUACGAAGGGGGCUAGCGUUGCUCGGAAUUACUGGGCGUAAAGGGCGCGUAGGCGGACAGCUUAGUCAGAGGUGAAAGCCCAGGGCUCAACCUUGGAAUUGCCUUUGAUACUGGCUGUCUUGAGUUUGGGAGAGGUGAGUGGAACUCCGAGUGUAGAGGUGAAAUUCGUAGAUAUUCGGAAGAACACCAGUGGCGAAGGCGUCUCACUGGCCCAAUACUGACGCUGAGGCGCGAAAGCGUGGGGAGCAAACAGGAUUAGAAACCCUUGUAGUCC